rnacentral:rRNA from 1 species
GAUGAACGCUGGCGGCGUGCCUAAUACAUGCAAGUCGAACGAGGUGCUUUUGUAGCAAUACGAAAGUAUCCUAGUGGCGAACGGGUGAGUAACGCGUUGGUGACCUACCCCAAAGUGUGGGAUAACAGUUCGAAAGAACUGCUAAUACCGCAUGUGGUUAUCGGAUUUAGAAACUGAUAACUAAAGGAGCAAUUCGCUUUGGGAGGGACCUGCGUCCCAUCAGCUAGUUGGUGAGGUAAUGGCUCACCAAGGCUACGACGGGUAGGGGACCUGAGAGGGUGACCCCCCACAAUGGAACUGAAACACGGUCCAUACACCUACGGGUGGCAGCAGUAGGGAAUAUUGCACAAUGGGCGAAAGCCUGAUGCAGCAACGCCGCGUGUGCGAUGAAGGCCCUCGGGUCGUAAAGCACUUUUCUGAGAGAUGAGCAAGGACAGUAUCUCAGGAAUAAGUCUCGGCUAACUACGUG